GAUCACGUUCCGGUGUGGAUCGAUCUGGAUCUCAACUAAACACGUUCGCGACGCGAACAGAUCAGUCCCGGCGACCCUGCACCCAGCGCUCGAGCAUCUGCAGCGCCAUCGCCCGGUCGUCCUCGGACGCCUUGGAGAGCGCGGUCUUGUAGCUGUCCUUGAUCCAGAUCUCGUCCGGCCCCGCACUGUCCUGCGCCAAGGUCAGCCACAUCAGGCCGCGGGCCGCCUGAC
rnacentral:misc_RNA from 1 species